rnacentral:rRNA from 1 species
AACGAACGCUGGCGGCGUGCCUAACACAUGCAAGUCGAACGAGAAGUCCGUAGCAAUACGGAUUGUAAAGUGGCGAACGGGUGAGUAACACGUGGGUAACCUGCCCUUGAGCUUGGGAUAACCCCGCGAAAGCGGGGCUAAUACCGGAUAAGACCACGGGGACCAAAGUCCCUGGGGUAAAAGAUGGCCUCUAUUUAUAAGCUGUCACUUGAGGAUGGGCCCGCGGCCCAUUAGCUAGUUGGUGGGGUAACGGCUCACCAAGGCGAUGAUGGGUAGCUGGUCUGAGAGGACGAUCAGCCACACUGGAACUGAGACACGGUCCAGACUCCUACGGGAGGCAGCAGUGGGGAAUAUUGCGCAAUGGGCGAAAGCCUGACGCAGCAACGCCGCGUGGGGGAUGAAGGUUCUCGGAUUGUAAACCCCUUUCGACCGGAACGAAUCCCCUCCUGGUGAACAAUCAGGAGGGUCGACGGUACCGGGAGAAGAAGCCACGGCUAACUCUGUGCCAGCCGCCGCCGUAAAAC